rnacentral:rRNA from 1 species
AUUGAACGCUGGCGGCAGGCCUAACACAUGCAAGUCGAACGGUAACAGGAAGAAGCUUGCUUCUUUGCUGACGAGUGGCGGACGGGUGAGUAAUGUCUGGGAAACUGCCUGAUGGAGGGGGAUAACUACUGGAAACGGUAACUAAUACCGCAUAACGUCGCAAGACCAAAAAGGGGGACCUUCGGGCCUCUUGCCAUCGGAUGUGCCCAGAUGGGAUUAGCUAGUAGGUGGGGUAACGGCUCACCUAGGCGACGAUCCCUAGCUGGUCUGAGAGGAUGACCAGCCACACUGGAACUGAGACACGGUCCAGACUCCUACGGGAGGCAGCAGUGGGGAAUAUUGCACAAUGGGCGCAAGCCUGAUGCAGCCAUGCCGCGUGUAUGAAGAAGGCCUUCGGGUUGUAAAGUACUUUCAGCGGGGAGGAAGGGAGUAAAGUUAAUACCUUUGCUCAUUGACGUUACCCGCAGAAGAAGCACCGGCUAACUCCGUG